GAUGAAGAACGCAGCGAAAUGCGAUAAGUAGUGUGAAUUGCAGAAUUCAGUGAAUCAUCGAAUCUUUGAACGCACAUUGCGCCCCUUGGUAUUCCAUGGGGCAUGCCUGUUCGAGCGUCAUUUGUACCUUCAAGAUCUGCUUGGUGUUGGGUGUUUGUCUCGCCUCUGCGUGUAGACUCGCCUCAAAACAAUUGGCAGCCGGCGUAUUGAUUUCGGAGCGCAGUACAUCUCGCGCUUUGCACUCAUAACGACGACGUCCAAAAGUACAUUUUUACACUCUUGACCUCGGAUCAGGUAGGGAUACCCGCUGAACUUAAGCAUAUCAAUAGCGGAGGA
rnacentral:misc_RNA from 1 species